rnacentral:rRNA from 1 species
GCUGACGAGUGGCGGACGGGUGAGUAAUGUCUGGGAAACUGCCUGAUGGAGGGGGAUAACUACUGGAAACGGUAGCUAAUACCGCAUAACGUCGCAAGACCAAAGAGGGGGACCUUCGGGCCUCUUGCCAUCGGAUGUGCCCAGAUGGGAUUAGCUUGUUGGUGGGGUAACGGCUCACCUAGGCGACGAUCCCUAGCUGGUCUGAGAGGAUGACCAGCCACACUGGAACUGAGACACGGUCCAGACUCCUACGGGAGGCAGCAGUGGGGAAUAUUGCACAAUGGGCGCAAGCCUGAUGCAGCCAUGCCGCGUGUAUGAAGAAGGCCUUCGGGUUGUAAAGUACUUUCAGCGGGGAGGAAGGGAGUAAAGUUAAUACCUUUGCUCAUUGACGUUACCCGCAGAAGAAGCACCGGCUAACUCCGUGCCAGCAGCCGCGGUAAUACGGAGGGUGCAAGCGUUAAUCGGAAUUACUGGGCGUAAAGCGCACGCAGGCGGUUUGUUAAGUCAGAUGUGA